rnacentral:misc_RNA from 1 species
UUAGUAUUAUAACUACGAACGAUUUUCUUGAAUAAAUUAUAAACGCAAAAUAGGGAAACUGAUUCUACGUUAUAACUAUGAAUGAUUUAUUUCAGUAAAAAAAAACCGCAUUCUCGUUUAUAUUUCAUUCUCCUAAUUACAGUCUAUAUACGUCAUUGCACGUUAUGUUAUCUAUAUACGACAUUUCAGAAACACAGUACAAGCUCGCAAGAAUAUUUGUAGAAGAUACGGUGAUUAGUCUAGAAAAUUUAAAUAUGAGAGAACAUAGCAAUCGCGAUUUAUUAGCAUUCAAGCGGAUACAAAUAUUGCAAAUAUUUGUUAUACUUUUAUCGCGUCAGAACUUGAUUGAACUUUCGCAUCCAUCUAGAAUCUGCUAUAGCGUGAUCGUGCAUCAUAUCGUUAAAAAGAUAAUCCUGUCGUGCCACGUUCAUUACUGAAAACCUACAACCAAACGACGUCAUAAUACAACGAGUAUUAAGAUAACGAAAUUAAAAACGGUGUAGAUAUAGAAUUUUAAAUGAGAUCCAUUGAAAGUGCAAACUAUUUACUACAGAUUUUCUAAUCAUUUUUAGAGG